GCAUAAUGGCGUAGUGGUUAGCACAGUUCCUUUGCACUUCAUGGGUUGGGGGUUCAAUUCCCACUUCCA